GGGAGUGUGACCACACACUGCACACCGGUCCUAAGAACAGCAGCUUCGCCUAGGUGUGGUGUUCUUGGAAGGGCAGCACAAGGCCCUGAUGAUCCAGAGGACCCCAAGUCUGUUGCCUCACUCUUUAGACCUGAGUCACACCUCUCAUCGGAUCCUAGGAACUGAGUCACUGGGCCAAAUAUGUUCAUCCAAGACCCCAGACGAGGCGCAGCUCAGGGACUGCUCAUUCUGCCCUUGGAAGGUGAAACAGCUACAAACAAUGUCACCAGAGGUCCUGCUGUGUUCCAGGAAAACUUUAAAGAUAGGCAGGCUACCCAGUCUGUUGACCCUGGCCUUAGAAGAAAGGGUUAAACUCCAGUCUUUCCAGCUGUAACCCAGCAAAUAAAAUCAUCAACUGAAAAGUCAAUUGUUGUCUUCUUUCAUUUCCAGUAUUUGAAAUAUUUACUUUAUUUUUUUUUUUAAAGAAAAACAAAUCUCUACAGUGUAAAAACAUGCUCCUGAGUGUAACGAUGGUUUUAGGAGAACAGAUGGGAAGCAUGAGACUUGAUUCUCC
rnacentral:lncRNA from 1 species